rnacentral:tRNA from 1 species
GGGUUGGUAGCUCAGCACGGUAGAGCAGCGGCCUUUUAAGCCGUUGGUCCCGGGUUCGAGUCCCGGCCAACCCACCA